GUGGCGGUGGUGUGGGUGGAGAAGGAGGCAGAGCCACGUUGAUGUUCAGAGAGAUGGAUCCAAUCAGAGUUAUAUUAAAAAUUGUCCAGCUCCCUCCAAGUGUUUUCAUGGAGAUGAACAGUAUUCAUUACCUUCUCCCCCGGCUGAGGCCUCAUCACAGAUACGCGGUCAUAUCCUCUCCUAAGCCACACCCACAGGGCAUCCAGUUUCCCCUAAAAGAUCCAAACACAACAGCCG